GGCCGGGUCCCGCGCAACAGCGUCCCGUGAACCUCGUCAGGCCCGGAAGGGAGCAGCGAUAAGCGGAUCACGUUGUGUGCCGCGGUCCAAUCCGGUCUCG
rnacentral:SRP_RNA from 1 species